rnacentral:rRNA from 1 species
UACGGGGGGGGCAAGCGUUGUUCGGAAUUACUGGGCGUAAAGGGCUCGUAGGCGGCCAACUAAGUCGGACGUGAAAUCCCUCGGCUUAACCGGGGAACUGCGUCCGAUACUGGAUGGCUUGAGUUUGGGAGAGGGAUGCGGAAUUCCGGGUGGAGUGGUGAAAUGCGUAGAGAUCCGGAGGAACACCAAAGGCGAAGGCAGUGUCCUGGGGAGUACCUGACGCUCAGGUGCGAAAGCCAGGGGAGCGAACGGG